rnacentral:sRNA from 1 species
ACAAUGACUCGGAGCCACCCCGGAAGACCAUGCGCAGAGGGGUGCUGAUGACCCUGCUGCAGCAGUCGGCCAUGACCCUGCCCCUGUGGAUCGGGAAGCCUGGUGACAAGUGAGGGCAGCAGCUGCAAGGGAGGGACUGGUGCCCAGGGGCUGGGACUGACCCUUUUUUCCACUCAUAGGCCCCCACCCCUCUGUGGGGCCAUCCCUGCCUCAGGAGACUACGUGGCCAGACCUGGAGACAAGGUGGCUGCCCGGGUGAAGGCCGUGGAUGGGGACGAGCAGUGGAUCCUGGCCGAGGUGGUCAGUUACAGCCAUGCCACCAACAAGUAUGAGGUAGAUGACAUCGAUGAAGAAGGCAAAGAGAGACACACCCUGAGCCGUCGCCGUGUCAUCCCGCUGCCCCAGUGGAAGGCCAACCCGGAGACGGACCCUGAGGCCUUGUUCCAGAAGGAGCAGCUCGUGCUGGCCCUGUAUCCCCAGACCACCUGCUUCUACCGCGCCCUGAUCCAUGCGCCCCCACAGCGGCCCCAGGAUGACUACUCGGUCCUGUUUGAAGACACCUCCUAUGCAGAUGGCUAUUCCCCUCCCCUCAAUGUGGCUCAGAGGUACGUGGUGGCUUGUAAGGAGCCCAAGAAAAAGUGACGCCGCCCGGCGGACUCACCAUCCCCCAACGACACAGGGCAGGACAGCAGAGGACGUGCUGCGAUUAAACACAUUCCCCCUCCA